GACGAACGCUGGCGGCGUGCCUAAUACAUGCAAGUCGAACGCUUCUUUUUCCACCGGAGCUUGCUCCACCGGAAAAAAAAGAGUGGCGAACGGGUGAGUAACACGUGGGUAACCUGCCCAUCAGAAGGGGAUAACACUUGGAAACAGGUGCUAAUACCGUAUAACAAUCGAAACCGCAUGGUUUUGAUUUGAAAGGCGCUUUCGGGUGUCGCUGAUGGAUGGACCCGCGGUGCAUUAGCUAGUUGGUGAGGUAACGGCUCACCAAGGCCACGAUGCAUAGCCGGCCGGAGAGGGUGAUCGGCCACAUUGGGACUGAGACACGGCCCCAACUCCUACGGGAGGCAGCAGUAGGGAAUCUUCGGCAAUGGACGAAAGUCUGACCGAGCAACGCCGCGUGAGUGAAGAAGGUUUUCGGAUCGUAAAACUCUGUUGUUAGAGAAGAACGAGGAUGAGAGUAACUGUUCAUCCCUUGACGGUAUCUAACCAGAAAGCCACGGCUAACUACGUGCCAGCAGCCGCAGUAA
rnacentral:rRNA from 1 species